GACGAACGCUGGCGGCGUGCCUAAUACAUGCAAGUAGAACGCACAGUUUAUACCGUAGCUUGCUACACCAUAGACUGUGAGUUGCGAACGGGUGAGUAACGCGUAGGUAACCUGCCUGGUAGCGGGGGAUAACUAUUGGAAACGAUAGCUAAUACCGCAUAAUAUUAAUUAUUGCAUGAUAAUUAAUUGAAAGGUGCAAUUGCACCACUACCAGAUGGACCUGCGUUGUAUUAGCUAGUAGGUGAGGUAACGGCUCACCUAGGCGACGAUACAUAGCCGACCCGAGAGGGUGAUCGGCCACACUGGGACUGAGACACGGCCCAGACUCCUACGGGAGGCAGCAGUAGGGAAUCUUCGGCAAUGGACGAAAGUCUGACCGAGCAACGCCGCGUGAGUGAAGAAGGUUUUCGGAUCGUAAAGCUCUGUUGUAAGAGAAGAAAGGGUGUGAGAGUGGAAAGUUCACACUGUGACGGUAUCUUACCAGAAAGGGACGGCUAACUACGUG
rnacentral:rRNA from 1 species